CCAAGUGGAUCAAGGCAGUGGAUUU
rnacentral:tRNA from 1 species